rnacentral:rRNA from 1 species
GUAGGGAAUAUUGGGCAAUGGAGGCAACUCUGACCCAGCCAUGCCGCGUGCAGGAAGACGGUCCUCUGGAUUGUAAACUGCUUUUGAAUGGGAAGAACACUACCCUUGCGAGGGUAUUUGACGGUACUAUUAGAAUAAGCACCGGCUAACUCCGUGCCAGCAGCCGCGGUAAUACGGAGGGUGCAAGCGUUAUCCGGAUUUAUUGGGCUUAAAGGGUGCGUAGGCGGCUUUAUAAGUCUGGGUUUAAAGGGUGCGUAGGCGGCGUUAUAGGUCUGGAGUUAAAGGCGGCAGCUUAACUGUACGCAUGCCUUGGAAACUGUGAGGCUUGAGUGACUUGGAGGUAGCUGGAAUUCCCUGUGUAGCGGUGAAAUGCAUAGAUACGGGGAGGAAUACCGAUUGCGAAGGCAUGUUACUACGAGUAAACUGACGCUGAUGCACGAAAGCGUGGUGAUCAAACAGGAUUAGAAACCCGGGUAGUCC